AUUCCACAGUGCGAACAGCAGGCAGAACUUCUCAGAGAGGAGACUAGCAGCUACCUUUUAAGUCUUCUAGGUCAUUUUCAAUGAUUUGUAACUGGUUCAAGUCCCUCUACCUGUGAGAAGGGGAACAGAGAGCCUGGAACCCAGAGGAUCUGAUCCCAAAGCUAUCCCUUCUCUCACUCUCUUGGAUGGUCUCUGUCAUCAGGUUGCUCACAGGCACCAAUAAGGGUGGAGGGGACAAUCUACAGUGCCACAGAGCCUGUUGAUACUGUGCUGUCGUCCCCCCCUUAUUUUAUGAAGCAAUAUAUUCUACAUAUUAAGUUUCUGGAAUACUUCAAGAUCCGAACCAACCAGAACACAAAGUCGUUGUCUUGCUCCAUUUGUGCCACUACAACAGAACACCAUACACUGGACCGUUUCUAAAGAAGAGAGAUUGAUGUUUCAGUUCUGAAGACAGUGGGGGCAAUGGCAUCUUGCAUCUGUUGGGGGAACUUGCUGCUUCCUUCCAGGAAAGAAGACAGAAAGGCAUUCAAAGGAAGCAGACAUUGCAGCCUGCCAUGACAGAAGAGCUGAGUGAGGGGAGCGAACCCAUUCCCACAAGCCCUUUCCAUAGCAGCGUCAAUUCAUUAUAACAGAAAGAAGCGUCUCCCACUUAGCACUGUCCCCUGACUGUCACACUAAGAUCUCCCAUUCAGCACUGUCCCCCUGAGUGUCAUACUAAGAUCUCCCACUUAGCACUGUCCCCCUGACUGUCACACUAAGCUCUCCCAUUCAGCAUUGUCCCCCUGACUGUCACACUAAGAUCUCCCACUUAGCACUGUCCCCCUGACUGUCACACUACGAUUUCCUUCCAACAAAUAAAUUGGGUGAGGAGACACUUUUUGAUA
rnacentral:lncRNA from 1 species